GUGAAUCAUCGAAUCUUUGAACGCAAAUUGCACUCUCUGGUAUUCCGGAGAGCAUGCCUGUUUGAGGGUCAGUUUAAAUAAAAAUCUGUGUUGUUGCUGCCUUUCGUGGUGACUCACCGGAUUUGUGUCGUCUUGCUUUCGGAUAAGUGACCUAAAAUUUUUCAUGAUUUUUUUAGAACGUAUUUAAAUGAUGUUACGUACGCUUGCGAUAUCGAAUACCAG
rnacentral:misc_RNA from 1 species